GACGAACGCUGGCGGCGUGCCUAAUACAUGCAAGUAGAACGCUGAAGGAGGAGCUUGCUUCUCUGGAUGAGUUGCGAACGGGUGAGUAACGCGUAGGUAACCUGCCUGGUAGCGGGGGAUAACUAUUGGAAACGAUAGCUAAUACCGCAUAAUAGUAGAUGUUGCAUGACAUUUGCUUAAAAGGUGCAAUUGCAUCACUACCAGAUGGACCUGCGUUGUAUUAGCUAGUUGGUGGGGUAACGGCUCACCAAGGCGACGAUACAUAGCCGACCUGAGAGGGUGAUCGGCCACACUGAGACUGAGACAGGGCACAGACGCCUACGGGAGGGAGCAGGAGGGAAUCGGCGGGAAGGGACGGAAGACUGAGCGAGAAACGCCGAGGGAGGGAAGAAGGAUGUCGGAUCGUAAAGGUCGGUUGUAAGAGAAGAACGAGUGUGAGAGUGGAAAGUUCACAGUGUGACGGUAACUUACAAGAAAGAGACGGCUAACUACGUG
rnacentral:rRNA from 1 species